GAUGAACGCUGACCGAAUGCUUAACACAUGCAAGUCUACUUGAACUUCGGUUUGGGUGGCGGACGGGUGAGUAACGCGUAAAGAACUUGCCUCACAGAUAGGGACAACAUUUGGAAACGAAUGCUAAUACCUGAUAUUAUGAUUUUAGGGCAUCCUAGAAUUAUGAAAGCUAUAUGCACUGUGAGAGAGCUUUGCGUCCCAUUAGCUAGUUGGAGAGGUAACGGCUCACCAAGGCGAUGAUGGGUAGCCGGCCUGAGAGGGUGAUCGGCCACAAGGGGACUGAGACACGGCCCUUACUCCUACGGGAGGCAGCAGUGGGGAAUAUUGGACAAUGGACCAAGAGUCUGAUCCAGCAAUUCUGUGUGCACGAUGAAGUUUUUCGGAAUGUAAAGUGCUUUCAGUUGGGAAGAAAAAAAUGACGGUACCAACAGAAGAAGAGACGGCUAAAUACGUG
rnacentral:rRNA from 1 species